AGUUCCCUCCACCCCGGGCCUCCCCCUCAGGGAUGGGGGGCUGCGGGCAUCUGGGGACCCCUGCCCCGCGCCGCGCUGGCCUGGCCAGGGCUCGAAGAGAAUCAAUGGGCUGCCGAUGGGUUCCCCAUCGGGCCGUCGUGAGGGCCCGGGGUUCGGGGAUUCCCGGGGAGUAUUUCCCACUUUCCUGGCUUCGGGGUCCCCAGGGGGCUGGGCAGGGGCUUUUCCCUGGGUGCCAGAUCACCCCUAACCUGCGGAGACCAUGCGGUUUCGAGAAGUUGGAGGCAGAGGUGCGAGCAGAAAGACUUGGAAGGAGUCAAGACUGAGAACAACGAUCAUAUUAAUUUGAAGGUGGCGGGGCAGGAUGGUUCUGUGGUGCAGUUUAAGAUUAAGAGGCAUACACCACUUAGUAAACUAAUGAAAGCCUAUUGUGAACGACAGGGUUUGUCAAUGAGGCAGAUCAGAUUCCGAUUUGAUGGGCAGCCAAUCAAUGAAACAGACACACCUGCACAGUUGGAAAUGGAGGAUGAAGAUACAAUUGAUGUGUUCCAGCAGCAGACAGGAGGUAUCUACUAAAAAGGGAACCUGCUACUUUACUCCAGAACUCUGUUCCUCCAGACCAAGAAGACAUUCUCAAUUAGAAGGCCGCAAUUUGGUUCCACCACAUCCUGACUACUACAGUAUAGUUUUCUCUAUUCUUUCAUUUUCCCCUUCCCCAUUCCUUUAUUGUACAUAAAGUAACUGUGUAUGUGCACAAGCAUAUUGCAUUUUUUUUUUUUUAACUAAAUGGCCAAUGGUAUGUUUUGAUCGACAUCAAAUGGAGAUGGGAUGGGGGAAAAUACUGCUUCUGUGAAAAUACCCUCUCUCUCCAUUAGUGGCAUGCUCAGUCAGCUCUUAUCUUUAUAUUCCAGUAAGUUAUUUUGCUCUCACUGUUUAACAAAAAAAGAACAACAUAAAAAUCCUUGCAUACCUUGUUCGAUUGGAGAAUUUUAAUGUUUUUCAUUUAUCAUUGUAAAACCAAGGACAAUUUUAUAACUUUUUUGUACGUAGCUGUUACAUGUAGGGCAAUCUGUCUUUAAGUAGGGAUAAAUUACUCUAAAAGAAAUGAAUCCUAGAUAGUUUUCCCUUCAAGUCAAGCGUCUUGUUGUUUAAAUAAACUUCUUGUUUAAAAUGAGCUGUUUUCUUUAUUCUGAAGAAUAUUGAGAAGCUUAGAAAAAACCAUGAAGUGAGUAGGCUGCUAGAAGUAACAUUUCAAGGAAGAAAUAAAGCUACAGUGCAUUCCUGACAGACUGAUACAAAACAAAGAAUAACAAAGUUUAUAAAUGACUAGCAACUGAUGUUUCAGCCUCUUUGUUUAAAAAGCUUAGGUUGUUUCAAAUAUGCAACUUUGCUAGCAAAAAAAAUUGGGUCAUAAUGUUGUGGAUUUGCUCCCAAGUAUUCUCUGUAACCACUACCUGGCAGAAUGAGUCAGUUCUCUCAGCUAAGAGAAAGUCCAGUUUGCUAAGUCUGCUGAUAAAUCACUCAACCAUUCUGGCCUCCUUUGAUGAAUAAAUAUUCCCUAACCCAAAAUAGAGUCUUUGUUCCUUGAGGAUGUUGAAGGACAGAAAAUAUUUAUCCACAUAUAUCCACUCUUAACAGCCUUAAAUAUGCAGGGCACCAUAGUUUUUAAGUUCAAAUGUAUGGGGAAGGGUAACAGCUCUAGAACUAGUAAACAUUAUUUUAGCUGGAAAGAUUUAGAUUACCUAAUUUUAACCCGUUUUAGAGAUGAGGAAGCUGAGUUCCUGAGGGUUGUUACUUGUCACACAGCUGGAGGAUUAUGAAACUAGGACUAGAGAAUAGGUCUGAUCCCUGUUAAUUCAGUUCUUCCAUAUUGGUUCUCAAGAAACUGAAUUUCCACUCCUCUUAUUCACCAAUGUGGCCUUUUGGAAUCAAGUCCCCAUGUACUAUCAUGCCUUGUCAUUCACUUAGUUCCUUCUGUUGCAAUAUGGUCUUUUUCUUUACAUCCCCCAUUUUUAUGGUGAACGAGCUUCCCCAGACAGCAGGUUUUCUGUAGGUUUUUUAAGUUUUAUUUAAUCUCUGCACCCAAUGUGGGGCUUGAACUCAUGACCUAAGAUCAAGAGUCGCAUGCUCUUCUGACAGCCAACCAGGCACGCCUGUUUCAUAGUUUUUUCAGUCUGUAUAUAUGAGUUAAUAUUGAACCAACUUUUAUUCCUGUAUGUUACCAAUCUCCGUUUACAAUUUAUAUUGUGAAACUGUGGGAAGCCUGCCCCCCAAAAAUCUUAGGUAAGUGUGUAUCUCGAGUUGUUGCAGUAGGUACUGUUGAAUGGUGGAAUUUGGUGGUGCCCUAAAAAUUAGGAUGAAAUUCAAGCCAGAGAAUUUUAUUAUGUAAAGGAUCUUGAAUUGGGUUCUUGUUUAAUUAGGAAUUACUAAUGUCUGAGCUUUUGCCAUGUUGGGGGGAAUAUAAACUUGAUAGCAGAAAAACCGGAUGGAAUUUUAAAAGCCAGAGGGAAAAGCUUGGAAAGGGCACUGUUUGGUAAUACGGUGUGUUGUAGCUUAUUGAUAGUUGGGUCAGUGUAUAACUACCACUGUUAAACUGUUCUUCAUUGUUCUCCCCCUAUUUCACAUAUGUUGCUAUCAUAAAGACCUUUUCUAUGCAAAAA